GCUGGUUAGCUCAGUUGGUAGAGCACUUCACUAGAAAAGGACAGGUCCCUGGUUCGAUACCAGGACAAGGCA
rnacentral:tRNA from 1 species